UACGUAGGGUGCGAGCGUUAAUCGGAAUUACUGGGCGUAAAGCGUGCGCAGGCGGUUCGUUGUGUCGGCGGUGAAAGCCCCGGGCUCAACCGGGGAAUGGCCGUUGAAACUGGCGAACUGGAGUGUGGCGGAGGGGGGUGGAAUUCCGCGUGUAGCAGUGAAAUGCGUAGAGAUGCGGAGGAACACCGAUGGCGAAGGCAGCCCCCUGGGCUGACACUGACGCUCAGGCACGAAAGCGUGGGGAGCAAACAGG
rnacentral:rRNA from 1 species